UGAUAGCAGCAGAUAAUUUUAUAGUCAGUCCACAGACAGAGGAAUAUCAAGACAGAAGAACAACCCAAAAAGAAGAACGGAUAUCACCACUGGACUUAAGUAUGGAACCAUAAAUAAUAACAAGAGUUUGCAAUUGUCUCCUAGUGUGGAAUUGAGUGAUUUAACAGUUGUGAGAAGAUCUUCUCAGCCCCACCUCUUGUUCCGGCUUCUGCUGCAGGCUCAGAUCAACUUCUCACAGGUAUAACCUGACAGCAACUUGCUUCAUUGUGGCCUACAGCAAGUAUCUCUCCCUGCUCAGGACAAUGUUGCCUGGGACACGGGCAGGAAUCAGAGUCUUCUGCCUAGGCCACACCAGAGCUGGCAAAUGACCCCAGGAAGAGAAGUGGCUAUUGAUCAUCCACCUACAAGGAGAACAGUUCUUCCCUCUCUGGAAAUUUAGUAUCAUAAACUUGCUUUUACAGCUCUCUGAUACCUUUAAAAAUAUAUUUGUAAUUUAUAUGACUUUUGCAAUAGACUCUUGCAACAGAAACCCUGGCCUGCCACUAUCUACUACAUCAUACCUAUGAGUAGAAGCGCCAACACUUAGUUUUUAGCAUAUCCUCAGGCAGUUCUAACAAGCAGCCAAUCUAAAGCAACAAUGACUUCAUCAAAGGAACUAUUAUAAGAAUGAGGUCUGAGUUGAGGUACCUAUAAAUAGACCCACAUCCAUUAUGCAUUUCAUGUUUCAGUGGGGGGAAAGAAAGGAAACAGUCCAUAGAGCAGCAAAGGCAUACUAACCAUGGGUUACUCACAUUUAAGAAAUAUUCCCAGAAGUUCUAACCUUAAACUACCUUUGUACAUCAUUGAACUGAACUGUAUUACUUGUCCACUUCUACUUAUAAGGGAAGCAUGGAAAUAUAAUAUUUGUUAACCUGAAUACAAUAUUGCCCCCAAGAAAACUGGGCUUCCCUUACUAAAGAAAAAUGAGAGAAUGGAUAUUGGUUGAGCAGCUAACAAUCUCUGCUUAAAGUUCCAUUCUUAGCACUUUUAGCUUCUUUCUUAUCCAAUUCAUUCCCCUCUAUAAUUGCACAUGAGAAAAAUUAUUUUGUCCCAAAAACCUUAUCAAAAGCUCAGAGAAUUCUUCCAUUUCAUAUCUGCAUGCAAGAAGCAUGACUUCCAUAUGUGUGCUAAUCCUUUAUCAAUGAGACAGAAAUAAUUUUACUGACAACAUGUUUCUAUGUCAUUUAGCUCUUUUCUCAAAUAAGAAAAUUUCAAAUUAAGAAAUUAAUUUUCAAAUAAAAACAAUCCCAUUCACAAUUGCAUCAAAAAGAAUAAAAUAUCUAGAAAUAAAUUUAA